UCUAGCCUCGAUCCCAGGCCGAGUUUUCGCUUUUAUAACGGUUAGGCGAACAACUGGGCCUGGUACUAGUUGUCUGCGCAUGCGUCAGUCGUUUGUCAGAUUCUGACGAAUGGAUAUUCUCGUUCACUUUUGUGACAUUUAUAUUUGUGUACUAUCGUGUACUAGAAGUCAGUUCCCGUUUUAUCAUUAUUGGAAUCGAUUGGAAUGGCUCUUAGCUGAAGCUUCUCUCUUCUGAAGCUUAUUCUGAAGACUGAACAACAAGGGAAGAGGUAUAAAGCUUUGUCAAGCUUGUUAAGGUCAGAUAUUUUUGUGUGGGCCCUAUGGCCGGCUAUGCUAUCAAGUCUUGUUCAUGUUUGGCAAGAAUGUAGGUAGACUAUAGUUUCAUCAUUAAUAUGGUGGAUCAAGUGAAGAGUUUGAGCUAGAGAACUUGGUGCUGCCAUCAUCAGCUCGUCGACAAUGACACUAUAACCGAGAAAUUUAAUAUGUAUAGAUCUACACAUAUUUAAAAUGUCUACUUCUCUGUACAGGAGCAAUGGCUAAUAUCCAGCUAUCCCAACAGUGCUCCUCUUGGCUAUACUAACGGACGAGACUGGACAGUUUGAGACACAGGACUGGAGUAUGACCUGCUCAUUCGAGCGUUGCUGGGUAGCUCAGAGACAUCAAGAGAAUCUACGUUUUCUCAAGCAAUGAGUUACGAGUUGGGGCCUAGAAUCAGAGAAGUCCAGCAGCCUGCUAAAUCUUUUUGAAACGUAAUUUGAAGGCAUUCAAUCAUCUUGAAGUUGCCCUGGGUCACUGUAAUUGUGCUGCAGCACAACUGGCAACUCCCCAGGCCUUUGUGAAGCAGCUCCCUAUGUGCAUCUUUUGUGUACUCACUCUGUGCAUUUUCUGUGUACAAAUUUCGAUUAUUGAUUUAUUAAAUAUUUUUGCCGACCACAAA